ACUCUUCUUCCUUAAGAGAAGUUUCAAAGCAAGAUGUCACUCCAGUGAGGCAACAGAAGGAAAAGCAGACGAAGCCAACGAACAGAUGCAGCACAGAAAUCUUUAACCACAUGGUAAGAGCAUAUUCCCAGGUAGCAGAAGAGGCAGAAGCCACAAGGGAUCUGGAUGGUCAAGCACACGAGUGACAAGGCAAGGGCCGUGAACUGUCACCAAGGAAGAAGAGAGGAGCCUUCCUCAAACAACCACCAGAGAGUAGAAGACCCCCUAGCAACAGAGGGCGCAAGUGCAGAGUACACCCAGAAAUACCACGGACACAGAAGAAGAAAGAGUAUAAAAGACUGUGAGAAGGGGGAAACGGUGUGAGCCGUUGGCAGAGCGCUGACUCCCCGGCUACACCCAGUGCUGUUUGCUUGCCAUUGCUUGCUGUAACCAAUAAAUUUCUGAUUGACUCUCGAAA